UACGAAGGGUACAAGCGUUGUUCGGAAUUACUGGGCGUAAAGCGCGCGUAGGCGGACGCGUAAGUCGAUUGUGAAAGCCCUGGCUUAACCUGGGAACUGCAGUCGGAAACUGCCGUGUCUUGAGUGCCUGAGAGGAUGGCGGAAUUCCCGGCGUAGUAGUGAAAUACGUAGAUAUCGGGAAGAACACCUGAGGCGAAGGCGGACUA
rnacentral:rRNA from 1 species